AACACGUGGGUAACCUGCCCAUAAGACUGGGAUAACUCCGGGAAACCGGGGCUAAUACCGGAUAAUAUUUUGAACUGCAUGGUUCGAAAUUGAAAGGCGGCUUCGGCUGUCACUUAUGGAUGGACCCGCGUCGCAUUAGCUAGUUGGUGAGGUAACGGCUCACCAAGGCAACGAUGCGUAGCCGACCUGAGAGGGUGAUCGGCCACACUGGGACUGAGACACGGCCCAGACUCCUACGGGAGGCAGCAGUAGGGAAUCUUCCGCAAUGGACGAAAGUCUGACGGAGCAACGCCGCGUGAGUGAUGAAGGCUUUCGGGUCGUAAAACUCUGUUGUUAGGGAAGAACAAGUGCUAGUUGAAUAAGCUGGCACCUUGACGGUACCUAACCAGAAAGCCACGGCUAACUACGUGCCAGCAGCCGCGGUAAUACGUAGGUGGCAAGCGUUAUCCGGAAUUAUUGGGCGUAAAGCGCGCGCAGGUGGUUUCUUAAGUCUGAUGUGAAAGCCCACGGCUCAACCGUGGAGGGUCAUUGGAAACUGGGAGACUUGAGUGCAGAAGAGGAAAGUGGAAUUCCAUGUGUAGCGGUGAAAUGCGUAGAGAUAUGGAGG
rnacentral:rRNA from 1 species